GACGAACGCUGGCGGCGUGCUUAACACAUGCAAGUCGAACGAAGAGCGAUGGAAGCUUGCUUCUAUCAAUCUUAGUGGCGAACGGGUGAGUAACGCGUAAUCAACCUGCCCUUCAGAGGGGGACAACAGUUGGAAACGACUGCUAAUACCGCAUACGAUCUAAUCUCGGCAUCGAGGAAAGAUGAAAGGUGGCCUCUAUUUAUAAGCUAUCACUGAAGGAGGGGAUUGCGUCUGAUUAGCUAGUUGGAGGGGUAACGGCCCACCAAGGCGAUGAUCAGUAGCCGGUCUGAGAGGAGGAACGGCCACAGUGGGACUGAGACACGGCCCAGACUCCUACGGGAGGCAGCAGUGGGGAAUCUUCCGCAAUGGACGAAAGUCUGACGGAGCAACGCCGCGUGAGUGAUGACGGCCUUCGGGUUGUAAAGCUCUGUUAAUCGGGACGAAAGGCCUUCUUGCGAACAGUUAGAAGGAUUGACGGUACCGGAAUAGAAAGCCACGGCUAACUACGUG
rnacentral:rRNA from 1 species